rnacentral:rRNA from 1 species
ACUGACGUGGCGAAGGCGGCCAUCUGGAUCAACACUGACGCUGAGGCACGAAGGCGUGGGGAGCAAACAGGAUUAGAUACCCUGGUAGUCCACGCCCUAAACGAUGCGAACUGGAUGUUGGUCUCAACUCGGAGAUCAGUGUCGAAGCUAACGCGUUAAGUUCCGCCCCCUGGGGAGUACGGUCGCAAGACUGAAACUCAAAGGAAUUGACGGGGUCCCGCACAAGCGGUGGAGUAUGUGGUUUAAUUCGAUGCAACGCGAAGAACCUUACCUGGCCUUGACAUGUCUGGAAUCCUGCAGAGAUGCGGGAGUGCCUUCGGGAAUCAGAACACAGGUGCUGCAUGGCAGUCGUCAGCUCGUGUCGUGAGAUGUUGGGUUAAGUCCCGCAACGAGCGCAACCCUUGUCCUUAGUUGCCAGCACGUAAUGGUGGGAACUCUAAGGAGACUGCCGGUGACAAACCGGAGGAAGGUGGGGAUGACGUCAAGUCAUCAUGGCCCUUACGGCCAGGGCUACACACGUACUACAAUGGUCGGUACAGAGGGUUGCGAGACCGCGAGGUGGAGCCAAUCCCAGAAAGCCGAUCCCAGUCCGGAUCGAAGUCUGCAACUCGACUUCGUGAAGUCGGAAUCGCUAGUAAUCGCAGAUCAGCUAUGCUGCGGUGAAUACGUUCCCGGGCCUUGUACACACCGCCCGUCACACCAUGGGAGUGAGCUGCUCCAGAA